AGAACGAACGCUGGCGGCAUGCCUAACACAUGCAAGUCGAACGCUCUCUUCGGAGGGAGUGGCGCACGGGUGAGUAACGCGUGGGAACCUGCCUUGGAGUGGGGGAUAACCGAUGGAAACGUCGGCUAAUACCGCAUACGUCCUGAGGGAGAAAGAUUUAUCGCUCUGAGAGGGGCCCGCGUCGGAUUAGCUAGUUGGUGGGGUAACGGCCUACCAAGGCGAUGAUCCGUAGCUGGUCUGAGAGGAUGAUCAGCCACACUGGGACUGAGACACGGCCCAGACUCCUACGGGAGGCAGCAGUGGGGAAUAUUGGACAAUGGGCGCAAGCCUGAUCCAGCAAUGCCGCGUGAGUGAUGACGGCCUUAGGGUUGUAAAGCUCUUUCAGCAGGGACGAAGCGAAAGUGACGGUACCUGCAGAAGAAGCACCGGCCAACUACGCGCCAGCAGCCGC
rnacentral:rRNA from 1 species